rnacentral:rRNA from 1 species
CAGCCGCCGCGGUAAUACCGGCGGCCCGAGUGGCGGUCACUAUUAUUGGGCUUAAAGCGUCCGUAGCCGGGUUGGUUAGUCUCCCGGGAAAUCUGGCCGCUUAAAGGGCAGAAUUCCGGGAGAUACUGCCAGCCUAGGGACCGGGAGAGGCCGAGGGUAUUCCCGGAGUAGGGGUGAAAUCCUAUAAUCCCGGGAGGACCACCUGUGGCGAAGGCGCUCGGCUGGAACGGGUCCGACGGUGAGGGACGAAGGCCAGGGGAGCAAACCGGAUUAGAUACCCGGGUAGUCCUGGCUGUAAACGAUGCGGACUUUGUGUCGGACAAGCUAUGAGCUUGUCCGGUGCCGGAGGGAAACCGUUAAGUCCGCCGCCUGGGGAGUACGGCCGCAAGGCUGAAACUUAAAGGAAUUGGCGGG